AGGGGGGGGGGGCUAAUACAUGCAGUCGAGCGAAUGGAUUAAGAGCUUGCUCUUAUGAAGUUAGCGGCGGACGGGUGAGUAACACGUGGGUAACCUGCCCAUAAGACUGGGAUAACUCCGGGAAACCGGGGCUAAUACCGGAUAACAUUUUGAACCGCAUGGUUCGAAAUUGAAAGGCGGCUUCGGCUGUCACUUAUGGAUGGACCCGCGUCGCAUUAGCUAGUUGGUGAGGUAACGGCUCACCAAGGCAACGAUGCGUAGCCGACCUGAGAGGGUGAUCGGCCACACUGGGA
rnacentral:rRNA from 1 species